UACGUAGGGUGCGAGCGUUAAUCGGAAUUACUGGGCGUAAAGCGUGCGCAGGCGGUUCGUUGUGUCGGUGGUGAAAGCCCCGGGCUCAACCUGGGAAUGGCAAUGGAUACUGGCAGGCUAGAGUGCGGUAGAGGGUAGUGGAAUUCCCGGUGUAGCGGUGAAAUGCGUAGAGAUCGGGAGGAACACCAGUGGCGAAGGCGGCUACCUGGACCAGCACUGACACUGAGGCACGAAAGCGUGGGGAGCAAACAGG
rnacentral:rRNA from 1 species